UGUCCAGGGAUGGGAAUCGAACCCACAGUGUUCUGCUUACCGGGCCCAUGUCCACUAGGCUACCAUGGAC